ACGGUCCAGACUCCUACGGGAGGCAGCAGUGGGGAAUAUUGCGCAAUGGGGGAAACCCUGACGCAGCAACGCCGCGUGAGUGAUGAAGGUUUUCGGAUCGUAAAACUCUGUCUUUAGGGACGAUAAUGACGGUACCUAAGGAGGAAGCCACGGCUAACUACGUGCCAGCAGCCGCGGUAAUACGUAGGUGGCAAGCGUUGUCCGGAUUUACUGGGCGUAAAGAGUAUGUAGGUGGGUGCUUAAGUCAGAUGUGAAAUUCCCGGGCUCAACCUGGGAGCUGCAUUUGAAACUGGGCAUCUAGAGUGCAGGAGAGGAAAGUGGAAUUCCUAGUGUAGCGGUGAAAUGCGUAGAGAUUAGGAAGAACACCAGUGGCGAAGGCGACUUUCUGGACUGUAACUGACACUGAGAUACGAAAGCGUGGGUAGCAAACAGGAUUAGAUACCCUGGUAGUCCACGCCGUAAACGAUGAAUACUAGGUGUCGGGGGGUACCACCCUCGGUGCCGCAGCAAACGCAUUAAGUAUUCCGCCUGGGGAGUACGGUCGCAAGAUUAAAACUCAAAGGAAUUGACGGGGACCCGCACAAGCAGCGGAGCAUGUGGUUUAAUUCGAAGCAACGCGAAGAACCUUACCUAGACUUGACAUCUCCUGAAUUACUCUUAAUCGAGGAAGUCCCUUCGGGGACAGGAAGACAGGUGGUGCAUGGUUGUCGUCAGCUCGUGUCGUGAGAUGUUGGGUUAAGUCCCGCAACGAGCGCAACCCUUAUUGUUAGUUGCUACUAUUAAGUUAAGCACUCUAACGAGACUGCCGCGGUUAACGUGGAGGAAGGUGGGGAUGACGUCAAAUCAUCAUGCCCCUUAUGUCUAGGGCUACACACGUGCUACAAUGGCUGGUACAACGAGCAGCAAACCCGCGAGGGGGAGCAAAACUUGAAAGCCAGUCCCAGUUCGGAUUGUAGGCUGAAACUCGCCUACAUGAAGUUGGAGUUGCUAGUAAUCGCGAAUCAGCAUGUCGCGGUGAAUACGUUCCCGGGUCUUGUACACACCGCCCGUCACACCAUGAGAGCCGGUAACACCCGAAGCCCGUGAGGUAACCGUAAGGAGCCAGCGGUCGAAGGUGGGAUUGGUGAUUGGGGUGAAGUCGUAACAAGGUAGCCGUAGGAGAACCUGCGGCUGGAUCACCUCCUUUCUA
rnacentral:rRNA from 1 species